GGGCUCGUAGCUCAGUUGGUUAGAGCGUUCGAUUCACAUUCGAGAGGUCCCUGGUUCAAAUCCAGGCGAGCCCACCA
rnacentral:tRNA from 1 species